UCUUCAUUUUAGCAAACGUCAUAUCUGUCUCAUUUAAAGUCAAGCUUAAGUGAAUAGUUCCUUCAUUGACCAGCAGAGGGCGGUAUUUGUAAACCGUUCUAACUCUCCGUACCUUCAGUAUGAGGUAUUCUGCAGGUUACUGUAGGCCAGUCUGUCUGUAUCAGGAUUACAGGACUGAGAUCUGGCAAAAUAUGUUAAAUUAAUACAAACAAAACAUAUUUAAUUAAUAUCUUAAAGACCCGAGCACGGCAUCAGUUUAGAUAUGUUACUGUUUUAAAUAUAAAGCUUGUUAAAAAUACACGCUGAGCUUGGGCGUUUAUUAGCACUCAUUAGAGUGAGGUCCAUUAAUAUUGGACUAUUGGUUAGAACUAGCGCGGUGUGCAGCGCUGAGAGAGCUUUUAAUUACAUUAUCAAAUGUUCACUCUAAGUCAGAUGCAUUUUCUCGGAGGAUUUUGUAUGACCACUGAACGAGUUUGUAUCACUGUGGAGGACUUUUGGUGGAGGGACGAAACUGUCAGUUGGACGUGACGCCACACCCACCCUCACGGUCCUGCCCCCCUCCAGUG